rnacentral:rRNA from 1 species
UACGGAGGGUACAAGCAUUAAUCGGAAUUACUGGGCGUAAAGGGCGCGUAGGCGGGAAAGGAAGUCAGAUGUGAAAUACCGGGGCUCAACUUCGGUGCUGCAUCUGAGACUCCUUUUCUGGAGGGUCAGCGGAGAAAAUGGAAUUCCACGUGUAGCGGUGAAAUGCGUAGAUAUGUGGAGGAACACCAGUGGCGAAAGCGGUUUUCUAGCUGAUUACUGACGCUGAGGCGCGAAAGCAAGGGGAGCAAACAGG